UACGGAGGGUGCAAGCGUUAUCCGGAUUCACUGGGUUUAAAGGGAGCGUAGGUGGGAUGGUAAGUCAGUGGUGAAAUCUCCGGGCUUAACUCGGAACUGCCGUUGAUACUAUCAUUCUUGAAUAUUGUGGAGGUAAGCGGAAUAUGUCAUGUAGCGGUGAAAUGCUUAGAUAUGACAUAGAACACCCAUUGCGAAGGCAGCUCACUACGGGAAUAUUGACGCUGAGGCACGAAAGCGUGGGGAUCAAACAGG
rnacentral:rRNA from 1 species